AUUCUGCCCAUACGGGGAAGGAUGAGAAACUUCGACCAAGGUUCGACUCGAGCGCCAGCGAGAGAGCGUUGCCGCAGGCAACGACCCGUAG
rnacentral:sRNA from 1 species